AGGAAAUCUAAUUUUCACGAGCACAAUGCUUUCGUUUGCUCUUUCUAUGGGCUUAUGAACUCAGUAGCUCCUACAUU